ACAAGAUCCAAAUCAAUGUCCUUCCGGGAGAAUUUCUUAAAAUCUUGUUUUCUCUCGUUGUCUUCAGAAGAAGCCCGACAUUUCUUAUAGGAAAUGGAACUCUUCAUAAGCCAAAAACAAUCCAUUGAUACACUUGGUGACAUUAAUUGAGAAAAAAACAAUAUGGUCUGGCCAUGGAGGCAUGAUAUCCGUAACAUCCCCCAAAGGAGCUAAAGAAGAAAUCCACAAUUUACCAUGAGCAUUUCUCGUCUAAUGAUUGCCAAGCGAUUCCUCCAGGACAUUCCUCAAGAUCAAUUUCUGUUCAUCCACCUUGUCCUGGGAGGGACAUCAAUGGGUUUCCAUGUCCUUUGGCUUCUGGUUGAGUUCACUCAGUGGAGAACCCUGGCAAGAGGCAGGAAAAGGGGAGGAAGUGUGAGAAAUGGAAAGGAGGUCACUAAGAGACUUGCAAUGGAUGUAAUAACUGGAUGCAGAAACUCUGGAUCUGAAGGGAAUGUUCAUGACUAUUUCAUCCCUCCUGCUGCCUUGGAGAACCAAACGCAGGAGCCACCCCAGGUGAAAACCAUCCAUUUCUUGGAGAAGUGCCACGGUGGGGUUGCAAGUCCCAGGAUCAAGAUUUCGAUGUGUCUCUUUUUCCCGUAAAGUGGCUGAAAUCUGAAGCUGAAUCUGCAAGUGUCAUGGAGUCAUUGAAUCUCACAGUCUCAACUGAUAAAAGUUAUUAAAGGUCGUCUGGUUCAGCCUUCUACUUGAUGUGGAAAUCCUUUCUACAGUAACUCUGUGUGGGAAUCACAGUUCAC
rnacentral:lncRNA from 1 species